UGAAUUGUCAUCCAAGCAACAAAUAUUCUUUGGUAAUCUUCUAUCAGAUGAUGACAGUUUUCUCUUUGGCAUUUUUAUGAGUUAAAGCUUUCAAGGCCAAAGGUAUCAGCUAUAAGCAGUGAACCCAAGAGCUUCAUUGCCAAAAAGUGACCCGCUUUACUGUUCUUCAAUGUCAAGAGUCUGGAAAUGUCAGCCCAAGGAGAUCAAGUUUGUGUCCAAGGUUACUUUGGUAAUUCUCUAAGAACAAUAGCGGCUCAAUCAUUGAGCACUGAUUUUCCACUGGUGCCUUGAUACUCCACUGAUGGCUUGAUACUCCACUGAUGGCUUGAUACUCCACUGAUGGCUUGAUACUCCACUGAUGCCUUGGUUCUCCACUGACGACUUGAUUCUCCACUGACGACUUGAUUGCCAUAAGUUUAUCUACUGAUCUACAAAUCAAGGAUAGCAUUUCAAAACCUAAAAGUUGGAGCUGUUGGGUUGAAAACAAAUAAAUGAACUCACAUUAGGCUGCAUUACUUCCUAGAAAAUUAAAAUGAAAUGGUCAAUUAAACAUUGAUGUCAAGGAAAAAGGAGGAACAUUUCAAGGCUACAGGAGGAACAUUAAACGUCUCUCUCUCUGUAAAAAGAUUCUAUCGAUCUACAACUGGUCAACAUGUUUUAUCUGAAGUUCAUCUGCCGUUUCUUCAAAUGGAGCCUUAGUCAGAAUAAGUUUGUCUACCAGCAGUUUGGUGCUACAAGUCAACGACAGUCAACAACAUGACUAAAUUAAAUAAAGCCAUGUCAAUUUCUACAUCAUUUUGUUGCUACUAACCUGUUGUUACUAACAACUAACUUGAAAUGGGAGAGAUUUUCAUCAUUUUUUCCUGAAGUCAUUUCAGUUCUCAAUUAUUUUGUGCAACAAGUUACAAGAACAAAUUCAAGUGAGAGAGGUCACUACACUAAGACUUUGUCUUCUCAUAAGAAUGGAUGGCUGCCUGGUCAUGUGGUAUGUGCGCUGGACUGUGUGUGGUCAUCUUGAUGCUCAUAUCUUGCCUGAUGCCAUUUACUCUGCUGGACGUUUGGUCAAGGAAGUAGCUUCUCUUCAACUCUCAAGGAACAUUCAAAACAUGUCAAACAUUGGACAAGAAUAUCAAGCAAGUGCAGUGUACAUACCAACAUGAUGAAAAGGUAGACAUGAAGAUCUAGACCAGCAUGAAGAUGUAGACAGACAUGAUGAAGAUGAAGACCUGCAUGAUGUAGAUUUAGACAAGCACAAUGAAGAUGUAGACCAGCAUGAUGAAGAUGUAGACCAGCAUGAUGAAGAUGUAGACCAGCAUGAUGAAAAUAUAGACCAGCAUGAUGAAGAUGUAGACCAGCAUGAUGAAGAUGUAGACCAACAUGAUGAAGAUGAAGACCUACAUGAUGAUGAAAUGUAAACCAAAAUAUUGAUCAAAAGAGAUGUAGAGAAUAAAACGUGAACAUCUUGAGAGGGAAAACAAUUCCUAGAGGCGAAGGCACAGACACAGUAGAUACAUUAGAGAGUGUUUCCUUUUCUACCAUCAUUUAGAGCCUUCUUUGUGCUCUAAGGGAACCUGCCAUUAUCUUUUGAUUGCUAAUUGGCGUUGAUGUUUAUACAUUCCUACUGCAUGUGAAAGAAAUUAACAUUUCCCUAAUGCUACUUUGAAACUAGAACUUCUCAAGAUAAUCUUAGUGACCAAGCUGCAAUACAGGACCCAGUAGGAAACAAUGAAGAAUCCUCCCAGCCUCAUGUCGAGUACCCCUGCUCACCUACUAGAGUGGCGACACAUAUUUCUCCUACACCCACAGUUAGACAUCCUGAACCCUGUAACCCAACCUCACAACAUGGUUACAUUACGAGAAGUGGUUGCGAAGUCAGAAAGCCUAACAGAUACAAUGAAUAGAACAAUCAUUUCUAAUACAGGUACAAGUACUCAAGUGAUGUACUUUGUAAGAACUAAUUUGGUGGAAUCACCAUAAUUGACUUGUAUCUUGUUCUAUAUUUAGGUAUAUCUUGACAAUCAGUCCAGUCAUUUGUUCAUUUAUUUUUUUAAUAUUCCUUUUUUUCCCCCUCAAUCUUCUUGUUGUUUCAGUGAAAUGUUUUUAUCUUUUUUGUUUUUGGAGGAAGGAGUGGCUGUGGUAUAAAAUUAUUAUUAUUAUUGGAGUCACAACACCAAAGCCUUGCUACAUUAUGCUUUUAAUUCAAUUUAUUAUCUCCCCUGCUUUGGUGUGCUAUCAUAUUAAUGUUCAUUAGUGUCACAUCCAUGAACAAUUUGUUCUAUGCUUUUUAUAGUGUAAAUAGUGACUUGACAUUAUUUAGAUCAAUUAUAGUAUGUUAUAUUAUGUCAUUGUAGUUAAAAUAAAACUGUUAACAUUUUCUGCACUGUUAUUAAUAUGAAUGUUUUCCUGUGUUGCUAUGAAUGUGUUUUUUGAGUUUUAGUCCGAAAUCAUAGAUGAGAAAUUGUUCCAUAAAUAAAGAGUAGAUUAAUAUUUACUAUUUGGUAUUGUCAGACUUCACUAAAGCAUUGAGUUCAUCUCCUUAGUCUAUUUAAAACUUUCAAAUACUAAUUCACUUUGUCUUAUCUAAUAGUGAUCAUGGGGUAUUCACUUUGGGCUGUCAUCUCCAUAGUGUCUAGUAUGAACACUCACUGUCCUGGUGGAGGUUAGGGCUAGGAUGUAAUCUCUAUUUCUGAUGGAACACAUGUAAAACCAACAAAACAAACAGUAGACCUAGACUUUAUUAACAGGUCCUACAAACAUUUUUUUAUAAUUGAACUGGCUCUCCCAGAGCUAUUUUUAUGUAUGCUUAUUUUUACUAUUUUUGUAGACUAAUGCUAAGCUGUAUACUAAUACUUAGCAUAUUAUUAUAUGGGUUAGGGCGAAGCUGUUUCCUGUACUGUUGACCAGUGGUCUGUGUGUCAGUUUUAAUUAUUCUCUACUUAGAGCUGCCUGUAUGUUUCAGAAUUUAAAAAAAUAAUUUUUCUACAUGUAAACCUACCUUCAAUUUUAGUUAUAUAUUGUUUUUCUAAUUGUCAAAAUAAUUGGCGGUUAGUUUUUUAAAGUUUGUUUUAAAAUGAUGGCCACUUCUAAUGUUUAUGUACUAGAUCUUGUCCUUAUGUUUUUGUAUUUUUAUCUGCAGUGUUUUUUAACUGCUGCUUUAGUCAUUGAAAUUAAAGUCU